GUGCCAGCAGCCGCGGUAAUACGGAGGAUCCAAGCGUUAUCCGGAAUCAUUGGGUUUAAAGGGUCCGUAGGCGGUUUGGUAAGUCAGUGGUGAAAUCCCUUCGCUCAACGGAGGAACGGCCAUUGAUACUGCCAGACUUGAAUUACUGGGAAGUAACUAGAAUAUGUAGUGUAGCGGUGAAAUGCUUAGAUAUUACAUGGAAUACCAAUUGCGAAGGCAGGUUACUACCAGUGGAUUGACGCUGAUGGACGAAAGCGUGGGUAGCGAACAGGAUUAGAUACCCUGGUAGUCC
rnacentral:rRNA from 1 species